rnacentral:rRNA from 1 species
CCUACGGGAGGCUGCAGUGGGGAAUAUUGCACAAUGGGGGAAACCCUGAUGCAGCGACGCCGCGUGAGUGAAGAAGUAUUUCGGUAUGUAAAGCUCUAUUAGCGGGGAAGAUAAUGACGGUACCUGACUAAGAAGCUCCGGCUAACUACGUGCCAGCAGCCGCGGUACUACGUAGGGGGCAGGCGUUAUCCGGAUUUACUGGGUGUAAAGGGUGCGUAGGUGGCAGGGCAAGUCAGAUGUGAAAGGCCGUGGCUCAACCCCGGUACUGCAGUUGAAACUGGCCAGCUGGAGUGCAGGCGAGGUAAGCGGAAUUCCUGGUGUAGCGGUGAAAUGCGUAGAUAUCACGAAGAACACCGGUGGCGAAGGCAGCAUACGGGACUGUAACUGACACUGAGGCACGAAGGCGUGGGUAGCAAACAGGAUUAGAUACCCCUGUAGUC